GUAGGGGGCAAGCGUUAUCCGGAUUUACUGGGUGUAAAGGGAGCGUAGACGGCAGAGCAAGUCUGAAGUGAAAGCCCGCGGCCCAACUGCGGGACUGCUUUGGAAACUGCCCGGCUAGAGUGCUGGAGAGGUAAGCGGAAUUCCUAGUGUAGCGGUGAAAUGCGUAGAUAUUAGGAGGAACACCAGUGGCGAAGGCGGCUUACUGGACAGUAACUGACGUUGAGGCUCGAAAGCGUGGGGAGCAAAC
rnacentral:rRNA from 1 species